UGAUACAGCCUGGAUUCAAACCAGGGUCUGUAGUGACACCUUUAGCACUGAGAUGCAGUGCCUUAGACCGCUGCGCCACUCGGUCAAAUGGCAGGACAGGACAGGACUUGAUAUGCUGUAACUUAGGUGAGAGGCAAGGAGAAUGUAAUUGGCUUAGUUAAAAUAUAAUUUUCUGGUGUGCUAUGAUAUCACAACCCUGUACGUAAACAUAAUAAUAAGUAGCCAUAUAACGUAUUGUGUGAUAUCCUAUUGUAAUGACCUGACUAGAUCAUAAAAGAACAACUGUCCAGACAGAGGAUUGAGUUUACGAAUGGACGGUUUAUUAAACCAACUUUACACAGGCGACUGUUUGGCCGUAGCGCACGCCAAAUAAAUGAAAGAUAGCCCACAAGCCAAUCGUGACCUUCUCUUGUGAAGCCCAGACAUAAGAGAGAGAACAAAGGCUAAACCUGGUCUUAACUUCCAACGCUCCAUCCCCCUGCCCAACCCCCCUCCACGCCACUCCGCCAACCGCCAGGAUGCCCGGCAUCAGAACAUUCCAGGCAUUCCCGUGAUUGGCAGAUAGCAGGUUGAUUGACAUGUCGGACCCCGCGAACACAACCACCUACUAGCCUAACACAUAACACACAGCUGUCUGUGCGGGUCGCUACACUAUUAUGUCUACAGACAGUCAAUUCCUUUUGCCUAACAUGUUCCUUUAUCUGUAGGGGGAUGAUACGGCAUCCCAAGCCCACUGACUCUGAGGCUGAUCUACGAGAGCAGGAGAAGUUUCUUGCCUCUGGGACCCAGUCCAUAGUCAAUGUGGUCUGACGGCCAGACAAAAGAACAGGAGACUCAGGGGGCUCAAGGAGAACAGAUGUGGUCACAAUCUAAGUCAGAUGAGCUCUCCACUCUGACUCCUGCACCUCCCAAAAAGUCUUGCUUUCAAAGCCGAGCGUGUUGGCUUCGAGGAUGAGGACUCAGAGGAGGCUGGACAGACAUGACAUGCACACCAGUGCUGUUCUCACCAAGAACAUUGAGAGGGACACUAGCACUACACCAGUGUCCUUACCAACAUUAAUUCUCCUAAAGUAUUACAUCGGCCGGAGAAGGAGAGCCCGAAAGAGGAGCAUUUGCCCGACAGAUUGCAGCAUAGAGAAUAAGAGGGGAAGACCACUUUGUGCUGUGUACCAGAAUCCAAGGAGCUGAACCUCUUUCCAGAAUCCUCCAUGGAUAAGGAUCAACCUCAUUCUAGACUUGACAGAUUCAGUGCGAUGGUGGUCCAGGUGCUGGGUGGGUCAGACAGUACAGUAGAAAGUGAAGAUCCACCAGGAGAACCAGGCCAAAUUACAUGCCAUGUCUAAGGGCGAGAUCCUGGAGGAGCAGAAAAGGCUGCUGGGUCAGCUAGAUCCCAGACUGGUUGACUUUGGAAGGGACUCGUAAGGCACUGGGAGUCUCUGUCGCAGUCAGGUGAUCCAGCAGUGGAGCCCUCAACACUCUGGCCAACAUUCUCACCAAGGCAGAGGGCUGGCAAGUUUACAGCUGCUCUCAGGGGUAGGGUGGUGGCAACUCUUCUGGCCUUCUCUUCAUGCUGCACUUCUCACUGGACGAUAAUGUGGAGGGAGUGAUGUCUGCCGCUGUGCAGGGGCUCGGUGUCCUCAGACGAUGAAGUAAGGUAACUUACAGUGUGUGAUUGCAUCAUCAUCAGCAAUAUACCAUGGCUUGCUAUGUGUGUAUAAACUCAUGGUUAAAACCCAAUCAUUGUGUGUCUGGACAGCAGACUUUCAUGAUUCCAUGGGCUGGCCUCCUUUCCUCUGUUCAGGAAGAGGUGGAAGACGAGGGGCUCUGAGGUCAUGAGAGAGACUGCUUCAGAGAAAGAAGAAAAAAAGACUGAUGACUUUUCCAGGGAUGAUGUCAUUAAGGUUGACUAGAGACCUGACUGGUUAAUCAAACCAACACUCCACAAUCGCUCUCUCUGUAAUUAUGCAGUGCGUUGUCUUGGCACCCUGUGGAGAAGUACUAGUGAUACAGUUGAAGUCAGAAGUUUACAUACACCUUAGCCAAAUACAUUUAAACUCAGUUUUUCACAAUACUUGACAUUUAAUCUGAGUAAAUAUUCCCUGUUUUAGGUCAGUUAGGAUCACCACUUUAUUUUAAGAAUGUGAAAUGUUAGAAUAAUAGUAGAGAUAAUGAUUUAUUUCAGCUUUUAUUUCUUUCAACACAUUCCCAGUGGGUCAGAAGUUUACAUACACUCAAUUAGUAUUUGGUAGCAUUGCCUUUAAAUUGUUUAACUUGGGUCAAAUGUUUCAGAUAAUCUUCCACAAGCUUCCCACAAUAAAUUGGGUGAAUUUUGUCCCAUUCCUCCUGACAGAUCUGGUGUAACUCAGUCAGGUUUGUAAGCCUCCUUGCUCGCACAUGCUUUUUCAGUUCUGCCAACAAAUUAUCUAUAGGAUUGAGGUCAGGGCUUUGUGAUGGCCACUCCAAUACCUUGACUUUGUUGUCUUUAAGCCAUUUUGCCACAACUUUGGAAGUAUUCUUGGGGUCAUUGUCCAUUUGGAAGACCCAUUUGCGACCAAGCUUUAACUUCCUGACUGAUGUCUUGAGAUGUUGCUUUAAUAUAUCCACAUAAUUUUCCUUCCACAUGUUACCAGCUAUUUUGAGAAGUGCACCAGUCCCUCCUGCAGCAAAGCACCCCCACAACAUGAUGCUGCCACCCCCGUUCUUCACAGUUGGGAUGGUGUUCUUCGGCUUGCAAGCCUCCCCCGUUUUCCUCCAAACAUAACGAUGGUCAUUAUGGCCAAACAAUUCUAUUUUGUUUCAUCAGACAUUGCUCCAAAAAGUAUGAUCUUUGUCCCCAUGUGCAGUUGCAAACCGUAGUCUGGCUUUUUUAUGGUUUUGGAGCAGUUGCUUCUUCCUUGCUGAGCGGCCUUUCAGGUUAUGUCGAUAUAGGACUCGUUUUACUGUAGAUAUAGAAACCUUUGUACCUGUUUCCUCCAGCAUCUUCACAAGGUCCUUUGCUGGGAUUGAUUUGCACUUUUCGCACCAAAGUACGUUCAUCUCUAGGAGACAGAACGCGUCUCCUUCCUGAGCGGUAUGACGGCUGCGUGGUCCCAUGGUGUUUAUACUUGCGUAUUAUUGUUUGUACAGGUGAACGUGGUACCUUCAGGCAUGUGAAAAUUGCUCCCAAGGAUGAAACAGACUUGUGGAGGUCCACAAUUUUUUUUCUGAGGUUUUGUCUGAUUUCUUUUGAUUUUCCCAUAAUGUCAAGCGAAGAGGCACUGAGUUUGAAGGUAG